UACGUAGGGCGCAAGCGUUGUCCGGAAUUAUUGGGCGUAAAGAGCUCGUAGGCGGCUUGUCACGUCGGGUGUGAAAGCCCCGGGGCUUAACCCCCGGGUCUGCAUUCGAUACGGGCAGGCUAGAGUGUGGUAGGGGGAGAUCGGAAUUCCUGGUGUAGCGGUGAAAAUGCGCAGAUAUCAGGAGGAACACCGGUGGCGAAGGCGGGAUCUCUGGGCCGAUACUGACGCUGAGGAGCGAAAGCGUGGGGAGCGAACAGG
rnacentral:rRNA from 1 species